CCUACGGGUGGCAGCAGUGGGGAAUAUUGGGCAAUGGACGCAAGUCUGACCCAGCAACGCCGCGUGAAGGAAGAAGGCUUUCGGGUUGUAAACUUCUUUUAAGGGGGAAGAGCAGAAGACGGUACCCCUUGAAUAAGCCACGGCUAACUACGUGCCAGCAGCCGCGGUAAUACGUAGGGGGCAAGCGUUGUCCGGAUUGACUGGGGGUAAAGGGCGUGCAGCCGGAGAGAGAAGUCAGAUGUGAAAUCCACGGGCUCAACCCGGGAACUGCAUUUGAAACUGUUUCCCUUGAGUGGCGGAGAGGGAAUCGGAAUUCCUUGUGGAGCGGUGAAAUGCGUAGAUA
rnacentral:rRNA from 1 species